rnacentral:rRNA from 1 species
AUUGAACGCUGGCGGCAUGCCUUACACAUGCAAGUCGAACGGUAACAGGUUAAGCUGACGAGUGGCGAACGGGUGAGUAAUGUAUCGGAACGUGCCCAGUCGUGGGGGAUAACUGCUCGAAAGAGCAGCUAAUACCGCAUACGACCUGAGGGUGAAAGCGGGGGAUCGCAAGACCUCGCGCGAUUGGAGCGGCCGAUAUCAGAUUAGGUAGUUGGUGAGGUAAAGGCUCACCAAGCCGACGAUCUGUAGCUGGUCUGAGAGGACGACCAGCCACACGGGGACUGAGACACGGCCCAGACUCCUACGGGAGGCAGCAGUGGGGAAUUUUGGACAAUGGGCGCAAGCCUGAUCCAGCCAUGCCGCGUGCGGGAAGAAGGCCUUCGGGUUGUAAACCGCUUUUGUCAGGGAAGAAAAGGUUCUGGCUAAUACCUGGGACUCAUGACGGUACCUGAAGAAUAAGCACCGGCUAACUACGUG